GUCAACAGAAAAUGCCACUUCUCUAAGAAACUGUGAGUGCUGACCUCUGAUGAUAGAUCCCCAGCAACAGGGAAUUAAAUGGAUAAAGAAUACAUGCAGAGCUGACCUUAAGUCAUACGUCUAGGACAGAAAGGGUCAACUUUUCUGAAGACCAUUGAAAGAGCUUUGGCUUUUGAUGAGACAAUACUAAUUGAAGAUGCAGGUCAAUCUAUUGAUCCCAUACUUGAUCCCUUGCUUGGACGACAUGCAGUUAAAAAGGGAAGAUUUAUCAAGAUUGAAGACAAAAAAUGUGAAUUCAACAAGAAUUUCUGUCUCAUCCUUCACACUAAGCUGGCUAACCCUCACUACAAGAGAGAACUGCAGGUUCAGACCACUCUCAUUAAUUUCUCUGUCACUGGGGACAGGCUGGAAGACCAGCUGUUGACUGAGGUUGUUAGUCCUGAAAGACAACACUUAUAAAAA